rnacentral:rRNA from 1 species
AGAGUUUGAUCCUGGCUCAGGACGAACGCUGGCGGCGUGCUUAACACAUGCAAGUCGAACGAUGAUGCCCUGCUUGCAGGGUGGAUUAGUGGCGAACGGGUGAGUAACACGUGGGUGAUCUGCCCCGCACUUCGGGAUAAGCCUGGGAAACUGGGUCUAAUACCGGAUACGACCCCCUGGUAGGUCAGGGGGUGGAAAGAUUUAUCGGUGUGGGAUGAGCCUGCGGCCUAUCAGCUUGUUGGUGGGGUAAUGGCCUACCAAGGCGUCGACGGGUAGCCGGCCUGAGAGGGUGAUCGGCCACAUUGGGACUGAGACACGGCCCAGACUCCUACGGGAGGCAGCAGUGGGGAAUAUUGCACAAUGGGCGCAAGCCUGAUGCAGCGACGCCGCGUGGGGGAUGACGGCCUUCGGGUUGUAAACUCCUUUCGACAGGGACGAAGCUUAUGUGACGGUACCUGUAGAAGAAGCACCGGCUAACUACGUGCCAGCAGCCGCGGUAAUACGUAGGGUGCGAGCGUUGUCCGGAAUUACUGGGCGUAAAGAGCUCGUAGGUGGUUUGUCGCGUCGUCUGUGAAAUCCCGGGGCUUAACCUCGGGCGUGCAGGCGAUACGGGCAUAACUUGAGUGCUGUAGGGGAGACUGGAAUUCCUGGUGUAGCGGUGAAAUGCGCAGAUAUCAGGAGGAACACCAAUGGCGAAGGCAGGUCUCUGGGCAGUAACUGACGCUGAGGAGCGAAAGCAUGGGUAGCGAACAGGAUUAGAUACCCUGGUAGUCC